UUCCUAGGGUCCAGAGUUGAAUAUGGAUUCUUUAUUCCAAGCUCCAUUCACCUUGAAGGAUGCUUUUAUGGCAUCCGUGUAAUCUAUCUCUUGACUCAUGAGGUUGGAAAAUAUGUGUAUAGAGAAAGAUUUUUUAGAUUUUUUAUUUUUCUUGAGACAGAGGCUCACUCUGUUGCCCAGGCUGGAGUGCAGUGGUGCAGUCUUGGCUCACUGCAAUCACCACCUCCCGGGCUCAGGUAAUUCUUGUGCCUCGCUGGAAGCUUUGUACACGUAGAUUCAAACAUUCAUUCAACAAAUAUUUAUUAAGUAUCUCUACCACUUACAAUUUAUGUAAUGUUGGCUCUGAGCAAGUUAUUUAACCUCUGUGCUUCAGUUUCCCCAUCUGUAAAAUGGGGACAGUAAUAAUACUUAUAACAGUGUUCUUGUGAAGAUUAAAUGAAAUAAGACAUGUUAAACAUGCCUCUAAGUGUUCACCAAACUGUAACUCUAUGUUUAUACUAAAGGUACAACUACAACAACUUAAAAUACCAAGAACCAGGCACUGUUCUAGGCCUUGACGUUCUUCCUCUUCUUGAACUUUUGGAUUCUAGUAGAUAACUAUAUGACACCUGACGAAUGGUCCUUCAUGAAGUAUGUAUUGGUCACAUCAAUAUCUCCUAGCUUUAAAUGAUACCCUUUGUCUUUAAUUGUAUUUUCUGACAUGUAUAUGCAAUCUUUUGCAUAUACAGUAACAUUUUGUUUCAGUAGUGCUGCUGAGUUUAAUCUUUUUGACAUUUAAGCAAUAAUUAGGGGUCCAGAGUUAUGUUAAAAUUAAAAUAUGUGUCUUGGCUACAAUGUUGGCAGGAUGAACAGAUACUUACGUUACAUGAUUAAGUAUAUACAUGUGCUAGCAGUGAAACUACCAUGUAAAUCCCAACUUGCUUGUCUACUAGUAGACUUUUUUUAAAAAUGUUGUUUACUUUAAAACUGUUUCAGAGCUGUUAAAAUAUAUUUAUAAAUGUACAUAUUAAGAUCUAGGUAAUAUGAUAAAACUAGUAUUUAUGGGUUAGUCAUUUAAACAGUUGUAUAUAUGCACAUUGCAAAUCCAGUAUUUGUAUGUGAUUCUUAUAAAGCAAGAAUUCUAAAUUAGCUAGCAUCAUUGUUAAAUGUGUCACUUUCUCAUUAGUUUCAAUUAUUAAUCAUAACCUAAUAGAGAUUUAUCUCCAUAUUUUGAUUAGAAUGCUUUCUUUUUCUAAUAUAGAGACAGGUUAGAGAUAGAGGGGGCUUUUCCAAGAAGCGUGACUCAACUAGCAGCAACUUUUUUGAUAAUAAUUACAAUAAUGAUUGUUACAUUUAAUUGAUAGUAGUAAUUUAUUAUUUAGGAAAUACUUUCUUAGCUAUCAUAUUGAUCCAUCCCAGUCACUAAUGUGGUUCUUUUGGGGGAUAUUAGAAUUCACAGAUGUUCUUUUUCUGUUUGAGGCUAUUAGAACGAAUUAAUAGGGGCUUUUAAUUAUUUAAAACUUUAGAAAAUUAGGUUCAUGUUAUUUUGUUUGCCAUUGCUUUUUCUCUCUUGAAAAAUAAGCAGGAAGACCUGUCCUAUACCUCCUCUGUGUUUUCCCUGGACUCCAUUGGAGGGAAUUGUUAUUUUUAUUUAGAUUUUCCUUAAACCAUCACUCUUUUAUGUGGGAUUUUCUGUUGACAUCUUUUAACUGCAGAUAAUUUCAGGUGUAUAUAUCUCUGUCCUUAGCAGUUCCUCAGCAUUCUGCUCUUUAAUAUGUUGAAAAGUCUUCCAUAAAUCAUUCUAGCUGAAAUCCUUGCCAAUUCAAACAAUGUUUAUACAUAAACUGGUUUAAUAUUAUACGAAAGGUAAAUGUAAAAUCAAAACUCUUCAUUAUCCUCCAGACAAAAUAUGGUAUUAUGUUUCAUAGCUAACUGAGAAAACUGGCUACAGGAUACUGGCACUCUCUCUUCACAGCUGUUAAUUCUCCCACUUCAGUGUGGACAGUGUGUGCUCUCUGUUCUUGCUCUGG
rnacentral:lncRNA from 1 species